rnacentral:sRNA from 1 species
GAGGAGGUAUUAUAUUUCAGAAGGCUUUAAUGGCUGUGGCUUGCCCCCUAAAUCACUACGACUUGCCCACCGGUCCAAGCAAAAGAUCCUUUACACUACGACUACGUAGAGUUGUAACUAAUGGGAUGUCAGUUUAGAUUAUCAUUCAUCCGCUUAGAGGACGCUGUCAAAAGUAGUGUCUCACUAAUUUAACUACAUUUCAUGGGUGCUGAUAAUGAGAUAGAGACUGAUAAGACACACAGAAAAUCAUACAUAUAUUGAUAGGAAGCUAAUAGCCACGUAAUUUCGAUCCUCAUAUCGAUUAUCUCUUGCUGACCCCAAAAAAAUACCACUCAUAGCUUAAAAAAUUAGUAGCACAAAAAAAAAAAAAAAAAAAAAAAAAAAAAACCCUGAAAUACUUAGUAUUUACAACUGGCUCUUAAGUCCUUUAGCAUUCAAUAAUCGCUGCGCCUCUGCCUUCUGCCAAUUGAUCUUGUUCGUCACUUCGGCCAUCCGCUGCUUAUUCUCUCUCUUGCCCAUCUGCUGCAAGUGAACCUCAUCAGGGCCAUCAGCCAGCCUCAAUGUGCGGAUACCCGCCCACAUGGAUGCCAGUGGCGUAUCCUGAC